AGUGAACGCUGGCGGUAGGCCUAACACAUGCAAGUCGAACGGCAGCACAGGAGAGCUUGCUCUCUGGGUGGCGAGUGGCGGACGGGUGAGGAAUACAUCGGAAUCUACUCUGUCGUGGGGGAUAACGUAGGGAAACUUACGCUAAUACCGCAUACGACCUACGGGUGAAAGCAGGGGACCUUCGGGCCUUGCGCGAUUGAAUGAGCCGAUGUCGGAUUAGCUAGUUGGCGGGGUAAAGGCCCACCAAGGCGACGAUCCGUAGCUGGUCUGAGAGGAUGAUCAGCCACACUGGAACUGAUACACGGUCCAGACUCCUACGGGAGGCAGCAGUGGGGAAUAUUGGACAAUGGGCGCAAGCCUGAUCCAGCCAUACCGCGUGGGUGAAGAAGGCCUUCGGGUUGUAAAGCCCUUUUGUUGGGAAAGAGAUCCAGCUGGCUAAUACCCGGUUGGGAUGACGGUACCCAAAGAAUAAGCACCGGCUAACUUCGUGCCAGCAGCCGCGGUAA
rnacentral:rRNA from 1 species